UACGUAGGGGGCAAGCGUUGUCCGGAAUUAUUGGGCGUAAAGAGCUCGUAGGCGGUUUGUCGCGUCUGGUGUGAAAUCUCAAGGCUCAACCUUGAGCUUGCAUUGGGUACGGGCAGACUAGAGUGCGGUAGGGGUGACUGGAAUUCCUGGUGUAGCGGUGGAAUGCGCAGAUAUCAGGAGGAACACCGAUGGCGAAGGCAGGUCACUGGGCCGCAACUGACGCUGAGGAGCGAAAGCAUGGGUAGCGAACAGG
rnacentral:rRNA from 1 species